CUAAGCUGCUAGUUCAAUUGGGUUCCAGAAAUUCAGCAUACUUAAAUCUGCGAAUGUAGCAGGUGCUCUCUGGUUCUAACUAACAAAUGGAUCUCCAGUUAAUAGGAUAUGGAGCUCUUUGGUACCUAUAUUGAGGCUGGUGACCACUGCUUCUCUUAACACGGGACCACAAAGUUGCAGAAGUGUAUGGGCAUACAGAAAUGUGACAAACUGCAAUUAUGGAGCUUAUUUCCUCCUUGCUGCCUGCACCCACUCUGCCCUACAACCUUGCUGUCUAGAGGGUCCUUCCAGCCGCAGCUUGGACAAGAAUGAUCUCUGCGGGCAUUUGCGGGAAAUCACAGCCACCCAAAGCACAGUAACAGCAGUGACUGCAGUUCACACAGACAACUAACUUCUUUCUACUGAAUAGACCCUGUCCUUUACAGAAAUGUGAUACUUAUGCAGGAAAUUGUGAAUAAACGGUGUAAUUAUUUAACUAAUCACAAACAAAAAUCUUUUCUUCCUACCUCCUAAUCAGCUUAGUAUUUGUAAAUCAAAACCUUUGAAACUUGGGAAAAUUCAUAAUAAAAUACAUUAGGCUAGAAAAUUAAUUUCAUUAGAUGUUGAAGAGAAACCAAGAUCAGAUAUUUUUUCUUUACUUUAGCAAAUGUGAGUGUUCAAAAGAAAAAAAAACAACAGUACUUUAAGUUUAGUCAUUCCAUUAUAAGCAGUCUUUUCAUUUUAGCCAUUACAGAAAAAAAUACAAGACAUGGAGAAAAAAGCUUGUACACUGUAUAUUGAAUGCGGUAUAUUAAAAAUUACAUUUAGUUUUGAAUAUUAAAUGCAAAAUUAGCUAAGAAUUCAUUCUAGCUAAACCAUAUUUACAUAUAUAUAACAAUAUUCUUUUAAGAGAAGGUAAAUACAGUGACUGCAGCUCUGAAAAUUAUUUCCAAGUGUAGGUACAUGUAUCCUUAUACUCAUAUGUAUAAUUUAAGAAUAUAAUGUUUGUUUACUAUGCUAGACUGAAUAAAUGCAGUAUAGCAGUUAAUACGGGAACUACUGUAGACUUAAUACAGUCAUGGGACUUGUAUAAAUAAAUAACCAAGCAUGGAGUUUUAUGGA